rnacentral:sRNA from 1 species
ACCAGAAUCGAGAAAAAAACUGUCUGAUUCUGAGUCUUUCCAAGAUGAAAUGGGAGAUCGAAACUGCUAAAGAUGACUGCU